rnacentral:rRNA from 1 species
AGAGUUUGAUCCUGGCUCAGAGCGAACGCUGGCGGCAGGCCUAACACAUGCAAGUCGAACGAACUCUUCGGAGUUAGUGGCGGACGGGUGAGUAACGCGUGGGAACGUGCCCUUUUCUGCGGAAUAGCCUCGGGAAACUGAGCGUAAUACCGUAUACGCCCUUUGGGGGAAAGAUUUAUCGGAAGAGGAUCGGCCCGCGUUGGAUUAGGUAGUUGGUGGGGUAACGGCCUACCAAGCCGACGAUCCAUAGCUGGUUUGAGAGGAUGAUCAGCCACACUGGGACUGAGACACGGCCCAGACUCCUACGGGAGGCAGC